rnacentral:rRNA from 1 species
UACAGAGGUCUCAAGCGUUGUUCGGAUUCAUUGGGCGUAAAGGGUGUGUAGGUGGCGCCGUAAGUCGGGUGUGAAAUUUCGAGGCUUAACCUCGAAACUGCAUUCGAUACUGCGGUGCUUGAGGACUGGAGAGGAGACUGGAAUUCAUGGUGUAGCAGUGAAAUGCGUAGAGAUCAUGAGGAAGACCAGUGGCGAAGGCGGGUCUCUGGACAGUUCCUGACACUGAGACACGAAGGCCAGGGGAGCAAACAGG